rnacentral:rRNA from 1 species
UAAACCUUCGGGGCCUGAAGAUGAGCCUGCGUCUGAUUAGGUAGUUGGAGGGGUAAUGGCCCACCAAGCCUGCGAUCAGUAGCUGGUCUGAGAGGAUGAUCAGCCACACUGGAACUGAGACACGGUCCAGACUCCUACGGGAGGCAGCAGUAAGGAAUAUUGCUCAAUGGCCGAAAGGCUGAAGCAGCAACGCCGCGUGGAGGAUGAAAUACUUUAGUAUGUAAACUCCUGUAAGAGGGGAAAAUAUACAGUUCUGCUGUAUUGAUUGUACCCUCAGAGUAAGCACCGGCUAACUACGUG